ACCCCUUGGCAAUGGGCAAGGAGACACCUGACUGGUGGUGUUGCUCUUAUGUCAAUCAAGGACAAAGCAGAUGUAUAGUCCUUAGUUCAUCCUAGCUUGAUGGCUGUGUUGGUGGCCAGAGCUGUUUCAUGCCUGAAGCACAUUG
rfam:Myotis lucifugus cont2.52160, whole genome shotgun sequence.